rnacentral:rRNA from 1 species
ACUCCUACGGGAGGCAGCAGUGGGGAAUAUUGGACAAUGGGGGAAACCCUGAUCCAGCCAUGCCGCGUGUGUGAAGAAGGCCUUCGGGUUGUAAAGCACUUUCAGUGGGGAGGAAAGGUUGAUGGUUAAUACCUAUCAGCUGUGACGUUACCCACAGAAGAAGCACCGGCUAACUCCGUGCCAGCAGCCGCGGUAAUACGGAGGGUGCAAGCGUUAAUCGGAAUUACUGGGCGUAAAGCGUGCGCAGGCGGUCUGUUAAGCGAGAUGUGAAAGCCCCCGGGCUCAACCUGGGAACUGCAUUUCGAACUGGCAGACUAGAGUCUUGUAGAGGGGUAGAAUUCCAGGUGUAGCGGUGAAAUGCGUAGAGAUCUGGAGGAAUACCGGUGGCGAAGGCGGCCCCUGGACAAAGACUGACGCUCAGGCACGAAAGCGUGGGAGCAAACAGGAUUAGAUACCCUGGUAGGUCAGUC